AAUUUCCCGGGAAAUUUUCCCGCUUAACGCUCAAAAUUCCGGGAGAUACUUCCAGCCUAGGGACCGGGAGAGGCCGAGGGUAUUCCCGGAGUAGGGGUGAAAUCCUAUAAUCCCGGGAGGACCACUUGUGGCGAAGGCGCUCGGCUGGAACGGGUCCGACGGUGAGGGACGAAGGCCAGGGGAGCAAACCGGAUUAGAUACCCGGGUAGUCCUGGCUGUAAACGAUGCGGACUAGGUGUCGGACAAGCUAUGAGCUUGUCCGGUGCCGGAGGGAAACCGUUAAGUCCGCCGCCUGGGAGUACGCCGCAGAAUUGCGGAU
rnacentral:rRNA from 1 species